CCUAGCGUACUCGCCUACCUCCCCGUCCACUACCCCGUGACCAGGCUGCCCCAUCCACCCAAGCCGGAUGCAAUUCAAAAUUCAACGCAGCUGCAGCUGCAUCGACCGGCGGAACCACGUCCUCCCCAUCGCCACGCCUGGAUCUCAAGAUUUCUUCAUGAUUCACCAAUGAAUCUCGGUGGGGAGUCAUUCACGGAUCUCCUAUUCAGAUCUGGCAUUGCUAGAGGAAGGGGAGGAGGACGACGAGUGUGGAGGCAGAGGGACAUAUGGCGUUACCGAUUCUCCUUCCUUAAGUUCUGCAUCUCAAGUUCAUGUCCCGGAUAUUGACAACACCGACAGUCACAGAGAACCCCCAUCUGAAUCGCAGCGCACUCCAACUCCGUGGCCUCAAAGAGUCUGACUCGGCAAGAUACCCGACCACCGCGCCUCAGUAUUGGGAAGGAAAAGUGCUUUGGAGAAGGCCAUGAGAAAUUACGCAGAUCGGGCAAAGCCUACAAUCUCUUGUGCGGUGUCCGUGGACAGCUUUUGUUCAUAACCCUGAAGUGCGUCCCAGGUCGGAGAUCGCCAGAGGAGGAAGACGGCGGCGAGUGUUCCUACACGUCGCUUCUUCGUCCUCAAGCCAAGAUGGAGAGAAAUCUGCUAGCGACGCAGAAUCUGAAGUUCCGGAGGCCACGCCACACUUCUGGCCUUCCAACUCCGUGGUUCGGAAGGUAUUAUCUCUCUGUCGCACUCCUAAAAGGAUUGAACUGGGCGUGUGCUUGCAGUAAAAUAGUAGUCUGGGCCCGGAUUUUAUAAGCUUUCUCAGUUGGAAAUUAUAGUGGGCAUUGACUUAUACAGUAAACAGCAAUUGAGUGGAGGAAUGAUUCGACUAGGCAAGUGUUUUCAGUAAAAUAGUAGUCUGAAGAUUAAUUCAGCACUGUCAAUUGAAAUUGACCAUGGGCAUUGACAUCUAUAGCAAGGAAAUUUGAUAUAGUGAUCGGUUAUUGCUGUCAAAAGUUUGAUUCUUUGGAGCAGAUUGUUGUUAUUGCGGAGUAGUUCGAUAGAUUUCAAGACCAUCGGCAGCAACAUACGAAUUUUUAUAGCAUGAGCCCAUGAUGUUACAAAAUAUGUCGCUUAUCGGUGAUCAUAAAUAUUAAUUGUACAUAGUAUGGGGUUGUCGAGGAUGGCAAACAGUACAUGAUUCAAAUUUCCAAUUGUGCCCAGUAAUCAUUCAACGAGGCGUUUGUGUUCAGUCAAAUAUAUAAUCGCUAGCAACUGCUUGUUUUCAGUCAAACUUAUAUUCCAAUUUUUUUAGCAUUGUCGGUUACUAAUUUUCAUAAUUGACAUGUAAAGUAAUACAUUUUCCAGAGACAUCAUUUAUUUAUGCUAAAAGGUUUACUCUUUGGAGAAAAUCGAUAUUCUUUGGAGCAAACUUUCUUUGUUGUGUGCAAAGCAAGUACUUCUAAACCCACAUCAGAGUGAUGUGCACAUUCUGACAAUAUUUUCCAGGAUUAUUAUUCUUUGCAUUAUUGUUAACAACUCCGAAAUAUGCAGGGUCUUUGACUCGUGAAAUCAUAUGUGUAGAAAUUGUUAUAGGAAACCUAUUGGUGGCUGAUGGUUGUAGGGUGGCUUGGGUUACAAGAUGAGGUCGCAACUGAACUGCAUGACCAAGAUAUGCCUGUCAUACCAGGAGCAACUAUUCUAUCAAGCUCAAUGAAUGUAGUACCACGCAAGAGGGGUCGAAGUAGGCCAAUGAACGCAAGAGCAAAGCUAGGUUAUGAGAAUGUCAGCAAGGGAAGAUCAAAGUUUUGUUCUAUUUGCAGAGGGUAGGGGCCAAAUCGCAUCAUGAUACCCCUCAAAGGGAGGUCUAACAAAGACACAAAGGAAAGUCCCAAAGUGUACUAAGUGUGGCCUUUCAGGCCAUGAGAGAAUUUCGUGCUCGAUAAGAAUGUUCAUUUUGUUGUUGGAAGAUGAAAUUGGUGUUACAAAAGAUGUUGUAGGAUUUCUUUUGUUGUGCUGUUUCGAAAGAUGAAAUUGGUGUUGUAGGUGUUCUUUUGUUGUCAGAAAUUAGGUUCAUUUUUGUGGCCAAGUAGUGAAUAUGUAAUUUCAGAAAUGUUAUGAGGAUGUGUAAAGUUAGCCGCGGUACUUAUUUCAG